UUGAAUUUUAAUGAAGAGCUUGGUUGUAGCUGGCCCAUUCAUUUGGGCAUGUGCACACCUUCCUCUUUCAUCCCACACACACCUGUGAACCUGUGAGACAGAGAUGGGGAAUUUACUUGCUGCUUUUUGGAAUACAAAGGCAAUAGGUUAUUGGACCCCCCCUCUGUCUACUCAAUUAAUAUAAACUCAAUUUAUUUUAAAACGAAUGUAAUGGAUGUAACACAUCUCAUAC
rnacentral:misc_RNA from 1 species